AUUGAACGCUGGCGGCAUGCCUUACACAUGCAAGUCGAACGGUAACAGGGAGCUUGCUCCGCUGACGAGUGGCGAACGGGUGAGUAAUGUAUCGGAAUGUACCAUUCAGUGGGGGAUAACGUAGCGAAAGUUACGCUAAUACCGCAUAUUCUGUGAGCAGGAAAGCAGGGGAUCGCAAGACCUUGCGCUGAUUGAGCGGCCGAUAUCAGAUUAGCUAGUUGGUGAGGUAAAGGCUCACCAAGGCGACGAUCUGUAGCGGGUCUGAGAGGAUGAUCCGCCACACUGGAACUGAGACACGGUCCAGACUCCUACGGGAGGCAGCAGCGGGGAAUUUUGGACAAUGGGGGCAACCCUGAUCCAGCCAUGCCGCGUGAGUGAAGAAGGCCUUCGGGUUGUAAAGCUCUUUCGGCCGGGAAAAAAUCGCAUCAGUUAAUACCUGGUGUGGAUGAUGGUACCGGAAUAAGAAGCACCGGCUAACUACGUG
rnacentral:rRNA from 1 species